rnacentral:rRNA from 1 species
UGGGGAAUUUUCCGCAAUGGGCGAAAGCCUGACGGAGCAAUCUCGCGUGAGGGAUGACGGCCUAUGGGUUGUAAACCUCUUUUUUCAGGGAGGAACAAAAUGACGUGUACCUGAAGAAUAAGCAUCGGCUAACUCCGUGCCAGCAGCCGCGGUAAGACGGAGGAUGCAAGUGUUAUCCGGAAUCACUGGGCGUAAAGCGUCUGUAGGUGGUUUAAUAAGUCAACUGUUAAAUCUUGAAGCUCAACUUCAAAAUCGCAGUCGAAACUAUUAGACUAGAGUAUAGUAGGGGUAAAGGGAAUUUCCAGUGGAGCGGUGAAAUGCGUAGAGAUUGGAAAGAACACCGAUGGCGAAGGCACUUUACUGGGCUAUUACUGACACUCAGAGACGAAAGCUAGGGUAGCAAAUG